GCCAGCAGCUAGCUCUCUGCAACUCUCACAUGGUUGCCCACUGAAGCCAAGCAGGGCUGCGCCCGGUCAGUACCUGGAUGGGAGACCACAUGGGAAAGCUAGGUUGCUGCCGGAA
rnacentral:rRNA from 1 species